GUGUUGUAUGAAAGAAGAGAAGGUUAGCACUCCCCUUGACAAGGAUGGAAGAGGUCCUUGGGCCUGACAACAUGCAAAUGGUUAAGUCACUGCCCACCUGCUUCAGGGCAUCUAACCAUCAUUUUUU